GGUGAAUGGAUCCAUUUUGGAGACCACCACUCUAGACAGUUCCUACUGCUCCUGUUAUCUGUACUGCUCUUUUCUCCUUUAUUUCACAAAGAACUUCUUAAGAUCCUAAGAAAUGCAGCCUCAAUUAGAGCUCCGCAAUGCACUCUAGAAGGGAACUCAUCUGGAUUCCCUUCACCGGGUAGAAAGUGCAGCCCUCAGCCAGAAACACUACCUCUGACUGCCAAGGAUCCCACACAGCAUCCAGACUAUUCAGUCCACCGACUCUCUACUAUUUAUCUUAAAUCGAGUCCUGGGAACUUAAUGUCUGUGCACAAAGAUAAAAGUUGAGUAAAGGAUCUUCCCUCAAGUAUGCUCUCCUCCAUCCUUCCACAACUACUCAUACUAUUUAUGACUCCAACAGUGAAUCUUAAACAAAUGGCUUCAAAGUCUUCAUACUUUGUGAGUGAUGGGAUGGCAUUAGCGGCCAUACCAUUGAUAAUGAAGUGAAGGAUGAAGGUUCAAUUUCAAUAGGCUUUAGCUUUAAAUAGAGGUAAAUUGUUUUAUUACAAGACUUGGCACCCUUGCCCUUGUCCAGCUGUUUAACAAAUGUUUGUCCCUGGUCACCAAUGGAACCAGACUAGAGGGUGUAGAUAGCUGAGUGUGAGCCAUAAUUACUACUGUUAAAACAACUCAAAGCACAUGUCCUACUGACAGGGGUGUGGAGAUGGCAGGCAGUAUUUGCACAAUACAGACGGUCUGAGGUAUGUUUUCAAGUUGUGCUUCGCAGGAGGUCUUAGCCACACACACACAUUUUUAGAGUUUUAGAAUCCUAGUUUAUGCAUGAGGAGAGGGGUCCCACAUGUACCAAUUCUUCCUUUAUUAUGCCAUCACUUAGAGGGUCUUCUCAAGAUCAGGAGCCUUUGCUUCUGUGCUGAAGCUCUCCUUUAAUUACUUUUAUCACAGCACUGAUAUCAAUGCUUUUUAAUUUUUUAACCUGCUUUGACUUUUUCACUAGGCUGAGAAGUCUGCAGGAGCAGGGCUGAGGUUACCUUAUUUGUAGUUGUAUCAGUGCCCGAAGCGCAAUGUCUGGCUCAUGGGAGGGGCUCAGCAAAUACCGUAUUGAAUUGAACUGAGUCUGAUUCCUAAGGCACGCAAGGGAGAGCAGGCAUUCUGGGUUGAGUUCUGGUUUAGUUCAGAUGACACCUUCUAAGUCAUGUUACCUUGCUUUUCUUGUAGAUACAAUUUGCAGACUCAAAUGGAGUUUUCAAGGGCCUCCAAGAUCCCUAAGAAAUUAGUCACGCUAACCUUGUCUGGCCUAACUCCAUUGCCAAUGGAGAGGAACACUCAGACUCAGGGCUCUUAAUUCCCAGAUGUAAAGAGUCUGAUUACACCCACUCCUUGAACCCUCUGCUGUGUCAGUCUCUGUGACUGGUUCCUGGUCUUUCAAGGAGGACCAAAACUGGGACUCCGGCACAAAAUUUAAGGGGGCACCAAAACACAUAGUAAUCAAGAUAAAUAAUAUUUUAACACAAUAUGCUGAAAAAUCAAAAUUAAUGCAAGUGUAUCAUGGUGAACAAAAUAUCAGAAGUUUAAAUAAAGAUAUUUUUGGUGUUCUCGAUUUUCCUUUU
ensembl:lncRNA